rnacentral:rRNA from 1 species
GAUGAACGCUAGCUACAGGCUUAACACAUGCAAGUCGAGGGGUAACGAGAGGAAAGCUUGCUUUCCUUGUCGACGACCGGCGCACGGGUGAGUAACGCGUAUCCAACCUGCCCACAACUAGGGAAUAACCUUGCGAAAGUAAGACUAAUGCCCUAUAAUUUCCUUUGACGGCAUCUGACGAGGAAUAAAGAUUUAUCGGUUAUGGAUGGGGAUGCGUCUGAUUAGCUUGUUGGCGGGGUAACGGCCCACCAAGGCAACGAUCAGUAGGGGUUCUGAGAGGAAGGUCCCCCACAUUGGAACUGAGACACGGUCCAAACUCCUACGGGAGGCAGCAGUGAGGAAUAUUGGUCAAUGGGCGAAAGCCUGAACCAGCCAAGUAGCGUGCAGGAUGACGGCCCUAUGGGUUGUAAACUGCUUUUAUACAGGGAUAAAGUUAGCCACGUGUGGUUAUUUGCAGGUACUGUAUGAAUAAGGACCGGCUAAUUCCGUG